CGCGUGUAGGGAUGACGGCCUUCGGGUUGUAAACCUCUUUCAGCAGGGACGAAGCGUAAGUGACGGUACCUGCAGAAGAAGCACCGGCCAACUACAUGCCAGCAGCCGCGGUAAGACGUAGGGUGCGAGCGUUGUCCGGAUUUAUUGGGCGUAAAGAGCUCGUACGCGGCUUGUCGCGUCGACCGUGAAAACUUGGGGCUCAACCCCAAGCCUGCGGUCGAUACGGGCAGGCUAGAUUUCGGAAGGGGAGACUGGAAUUCCUGGUGUAGCGAUGAAAUGCGCAGAUUUCAAGAGGAACACCGGUGGCGAAGGCGGGUCUCUGGGCCGAUACUGACGCUGAGGAGCGAAAGCGUGGGGAGCGAACAGGAUUAGAUACCCUGGUAGUCCACGCUGUAAACGUUGGGCGCUAGGUGUGGGGAGCCUCUCCGGUUCUCUGUGCCGCAGCUUACGCAUUAAGCGCCCCACCUGGGGAGUACGGCCGCAGGGCUAAAACUCAAAGGAAUUGACGGGGGCCCGCACAAGACGGCGGAGCAUGCGGAUUAAUUCAUAUGCAACGCGAAUAACCUUACCUGGGUUUGACAUGGCCGCAAAACUUGCAGAGAUGUAA
rnacentral:rRNA from 1 species